rnacentral:lncRNA from 1 species
CUGAGCCCACAGCUCUGGCAAGAAGUGGGGCCCAGUGUGGAUGACUUCAGUUUAUAUUUUCUAAAGGUCACCCCGAAUCCUUUGAGGCUCUUGGGCCAAAGCUCCAAACAUCGCUGUGGCCACAGCUUGCAGUGGGGGAGUACAGUUUCCUCCCGGACACAAAUGAGCCCAAGUCUUCCCAGACCUGGUUCCUAUGGAGACCUGGAAAAGGGUCCCCAGGAGCUACCAGAUGAGAUUUUUACUGGGGUGAAGUCCUGAGGCUAUACAUGGGCACACACAGGACACAUGUGGUUACCAUCCUCUGGCUAUUCUAUAUUAUCACCAUUCCGAAGUGUGCUAGGUGAUGAUUUUAUUAAGUCCAGUGAUAGGAAAGACAUUUAGUAAAACAGUGCUCUGUCCUAGAGGGUUAAGGCACGCGUGGUAAUUAAAAACCUCCAAGGCUCAAG